CCCCACCAUCUCUCAGGACAAAGUAAUUGGUAAAGAAUUGGCUCGGGACUGGUGUCUGGUCUCCCCAUUAAGAAAAUCUCCCUUGGAUGGCCUGUCCUGAGAGGCAGAGUGUCCCCGGUGUCUCUGAUCGACCGUGGUUGGAUGCAGCUGGACCUGCUAGGGUCGUUCCCUCUGUGACUUCAGUUAGGCCAGCUGCUGAGGGCCCCGGAGCUGCUGCUGCACCAGAAGCAAAGGA